rnacentral:rRNA from 1 species
CAGUAGCCGCGGGAACACGUAGGGUGCAAGCGUUAAUCGGAAUUACUGGGCGUAAAGCGUGCGCAGGCGGUUAUAUAAGACAGAUGUGAAAUCCCCGGGCUCAACCUGGGAACUGCAUUUGUGACUGUAUAGCUAGAGUACGGCAGAGGGGGAUGGAAUUCCGCGUGUAGCAGUGAAAUGCGUAGAUAUGCGGAGGAACACCGAUGGCGAAGGCAAUCCCCUGGGCCUGUACUGACGCUCAUGCACGAAAGCGUGGGGAGCAAACAGGAUUAGAUACCCGUGUAGUCCCUGUCUCUUAUAA